CCUGCAGCUGCCACCACCAAACCCUCGCUCUCGCAUUCUCCCGGCUGCUCUUUGAGGCAGUUUUCGGCACUGCUGACACGUCGCAGCCUCGGACUCAACGGCCGGCGGCAGGAGAAGGGGCAGCCCCUGGAAAGCUAUAUUUUUCCACUUGGGCAUGGGUGCACCAUCCCGGGGUGAUGCCCCCCGAGCCUACCUCUGCCUGCUCUGGCUC